UAAAAGUCAUGCCCUCCAUAAGUUAACAUGACGUUUUUUUAUAAGUUACUUCCAAUUAACAUAAUGAGUUAUGUAAUUUCAACUUAAUUUCAUGAGUUAUUUGCAUUUCAACUCAAUAAUGUGAGUCAGUUCAAUGAAACAUAAAUUUAAAUGUGUUAAGAUAACUUGACAAUGUGAGUUUUAAAAUGGUAACCCGAUCUUAUAAAAACUGAUCACCACUGGCAAUAUUAAUGCGAGAUCCAAAUAGUGCCGGAAAUUCGCUCUUUAUCUGUUAAGGGACUAAAUAUGAUGUAAGAUUUAGUUAGACUUUAUAAAGUUCUUUAUCCCAGUUAGAAUUGCAAUAUUAAAUGAAGAGGAGGAACACCACCUGACCAGAGUAAGAACGUCGAAAGCAAAGUCGCGGAUGAAUACAAUUUUUUCCAAGACCUUGAUCCGUCCCCAAGGCAUUCAAAUUUGGCGGGGCAUUUUUCCUAAAAGCGAAUUGAGCUGGAGCCAUAUAAGUAAGGUGGUCCAUUAUUUAAAGUUUGGCAAAAACUGUGGAUGAAAUGGAGAUGUAAGUUUUGCAAUUUUGUUACCUACAAUGAAAGAACAAUAUUGAGUCAUUACAAAGACAAUCAUGGACGUGGAAGACGGGGACUGAGCUGCAUUUAUCCAAACUGUCUGACUGUUCUCAAAUCCCACGUAGAUUUCACAAAACAUAUCAAGGGACAUAAAAGAUCAUGUCCAGUUGCUAAACUACGCUGUGAACUCUGUACAUUUUCAGCACCAACCAACAUCAAACAGUAUUUUCUUCAUUUAAAGAGACAUUUGAGAACUGGAGAGACUGUCAAUUGUCCAUUUGCAGGGUGUUCUUUUAAGUCAAGGGUAAUCUCAACUUUCACUGCCCAUAAGAGUCGAUAUCAUCAUACUGCUACAUUGGUUGAUUUCAAACCUGAUCUUGUUGUGAAGUGUCACAGUGAAGUCUUUGUAAAUGAUUGUGAAGAAGACUUUGAUGAUUUAGUGUCAUCAGAUUUAUUGUUGCCUGAAUCUGAAGGUCAACCUGUGCAAAAUUCUAUCCAACGACAGAUAGCGUCCCUUUUACUUCGCCUACAAGCGGUCCUUCACGUGUCACAAUCAGCAAUUCAAGAAAUUGUUGAUGAAUUAUUUGAUGUUGGUCAAUGUGCUUUACAAUUAACUCAGCACAAAAUUGAAAAUAUUUUGAAAGAGCAUAAUUGCUCAUCAGAGGAAUUAACAGAAUCUUUGACUGAAGCUUUACAGAGUGCAAACUCACUUACUUUACUUUCAAGAGAGGGGCCUUUAGGCACAGAAUUUAAAAGACAGUCAUUUUAUAGACAGAACUUUACUGUCAUUGAGCCUGUUGAAUAUGUUUUGAAUAGGCAAAAAAAAUCUCAUACUGUUGUUUAUAUCCCCAUUCUCAAAUUACUUUCUGUAAUUCUAAAGCGAGAUGAGGUACUGCAUGAAUUAAGAGUAAACAGAUCAUCUGAACAAUCUGGAGAGUACAAGUCAUGUCUCGAUGGUGACUACUUUAAAACAAAUCACAUUUUCUCACAUGAAGAUGUUAGUUUGUGCAUAACUUUGUACAUUGACGAUUUUGAAGUUUGUAAUCCCAUUGGCACCUCCAGAAAAAAACACAAAGUGUGUGGUGUUUAUUGGAUUCUUGCCAAUUUGCCAAGAAGAUAUAAGUCGUCACUGCCAUCAAUCUACCUAGCUUUAUUGUGCAAGACUGAACAUAUUAAGACUUAUGGAUAUAAUGAGGUUUUAGAGCCACUGAUAAAAGAUAUUCAGUGUCUAGAAACAGUUGGUGUGUUUGUAGAAAAACUUAAUUGUAAUGUAAAAGGGACCAUCUUGCAUGUUUCUGCAGACAACUUGGCAGCACACUCCCUAGCUGGAUUCCAAGAGUCUUUUAAUGUGGAAAAAUUUUGUAGGUUUUGUUUGUGUAAUCGUGAAGAAAUACAGACUUGUGAUGUCAGAAGUGGAAAGUUUGUUUUACGAACAUCAGAUUUGUAUGAUGAAGCUGUAAAUUUAUUGAACCAGAGUGAACUUGCAUCUGUUGAUGGUGUGAAACGGGAAUGUCCACUUAACAGACUGACCGGUUUUCAUGCAUGCCGAGGUUUUCCACCUGAUUUUUUACAUGAUGUGUUGGAAGGCAUUGUACCCGUUGAGCUAAGUCUGUGCCUUGCAGAUUUGAUUUUGAAGAACUAUUUCACAUUGGAUGAGCUCAAUAACGAAAUACAAGGCUUUCCUUUUAAGUUCUCUGACAAAACAAACCGGCCUCAAAAGAUUCCAUCAACUUUUAAGCGGAAUCGUACUCUAGGUGGUAAUGGACAUGAAAACUGGAGUCUAGUGCGCUUCCUUCCGCUCAUCAUUGGUCACCGUGUUCCAGAAGGUGAUCAAACAUGGGAAUUAGUUCUUGAGCUCAAAGACUUGGUGGAGCUAUUGUCAACCACAUAUUUCACUUCAGACUCACUUUGUUAUUUACAGGCAAAAAUAUCAGACCACAGACAGUUGCUGCAGACAGUUUUCCCAGAAAAAAAGUUGUGUCCCAAACAUCACUUUAUUGAACAUUAUCCAUAUCUUAUUCAAAAGUUUGGACCUCCAACUGAGUGUUGGACUAUAAGGUUUGAGGCAAAACAUUCUUUCUUUAAGAAGGCUGUGCGAGAUGCCAACAACUUUAAAAACAUUCUGCUUACGCUUGCUACAAGACAUCAACUUAUGUUGGCGCAUUACUUUGCAAUGCCAAGACUUUUCAAGCCGGAGACUGAGACGGCAAAGGUGUCUGAAAUGUGUCUCGAAGUUUUAGAUGCUGCCAUCAGACAAGCCAUCUUGAAUAGGUUCAGGAGUGUUGAAACAGUAGGACUGACCCCUCACAUCUUUCUGAAUGGAACCAAGUACUCAAAGGGAAUGAUUCUCUCUAGUGGGAGCACAAGUGAAUUGCCAAACUUUGGACAAAUUUUAGAAGUAUGCAUUGUGUUGGAGAGUAAUGUUUGCUUCAUUAUAGAACCUUUCAUAGCACACUACGUGGAGCAUCUACGGAGUUACCAUCUUGUGAAGAAAAACCCUGCUGAGUGUCUGUUGGUGAAACCAGAGGAUCUCAACGACUACGUGCCACUGGUGUCAUACUUCAUUCGGGGCCGUCUUCUGGUCACUCCCAAGACUUUCUUGCUAAAAUAAAACGGCUGUCUAAGUUGUCUACAAUGCUGCUGCGUGUCAUAGUUUCAGAAAAUGAAAUUAGGCGUCUUUCAAUUGAAGACAUCCCCUCAAGUGUUGAGAACCUGUACCAGGUGUUGCGAACCAACCUUGCUCUAAGAGGAGGAUUCAUUUUGCAGUAUGAGGAUCCUGAUUUCAAUAAUCAAUUGUGCAACCUAACGAACAUCAAAGACCUUCCUGUGGACCGUGCAACUUUGAAAGUAUUGUUCACAGCUGAUGACUCAGAUUCUACACUGGACACUGGCAGCCUUUCUUCUCCAAGUAGUGCAGUUUUUGUUCAAUGGCCUGACCCCUUCCCGAUUCCAAAGUUUUCACAUGAUGUGGAGCUGCAACUGAAAGAAGCCAAUUGUAGAUAUGCUAAGGAUGGAUGUGUGACGGUGAUUUCUAAAACUUUGAAGACUGAUAUCCUUGACACACUUGCAGACGGUAUGUCAAAGAUUAGUGCUUAUCCUGAGAGGCAACACUAUGAAAAUGUGGCCAAAGCACUGGUGGAAAGGCAUCCCUGUCUGCGAGACCCAGGAUCAGAAAAGGGAUGGUACUCAUGGUUUCACAGUCUGAAAUUUAAAAUGGGAAACUACAGACAAAAAUUAAGUUCAGCAGGAUGCCCUGAAGUGGUCAUAAACAAACGAAAAUCUGGAAGUUCAAAAGGGGAAACUGUCAAAAAGUCAAAGAAGGGGGAGGUGAACUACUGUCCUGAUCCACCUGAAGGACAGAGUCCUGAAAACAUGGAGGUGAAGCGCAAGAUAAUGGAGGCUGAAAUGCAGAAGAAAGACCCAAAUCAUCAGCUGCUUGAGGAUUUGAUGGUUGCUACAUUUUCUCAGCGUAGGAAAGAGAUUGUAGGAGAUCAACCACACAUCACAGAGCUCAUCUCCCGAUGGCCAACUCUGUUCCAUGAGAAACAGAUUAGGGCUGAAUUUAAAAGAAUCGUCACCAAAGACCUUCUGGAAUCUUUUCUUGACGGACUUGAUGGCCUGGUUCCGAGACUGCUGGAGAUCUACAAAGCAGCAACCAAAUCUGGAAAGAAGCAGCCACUCAAAGACAUUUUGGACUGCCUUGCAAAAGAUGACACAAAUGAAAGGAGAAGGGCUGCUGCUCUGCUUGGUUUGCCACGCUACAUAUCUGGUGAAGAUCCAUCAACUAUCAUCAGGAUGUGUGAUGCCCAUGCUGAUUUUCUGGAUGAUGCCAUGAAGGGGAUGCAGGUUGGUCUCCUGAUUGCCUGUGAAGGUGGUGAACAGUGGCCCAUCCCACACGAGGUCUUCGAUGUGGCAGUUGUGGUGGAGGAGACCAUUGUGCUUCACAACAUUAAAGAUGUGACACUUGGMUUUGCUA